GGGGUCGUGGUGUAGUGGUUAACACGUCGGCCUGUCAAGCCGAAGAUCGCGGGUUCGAUCCCCGUCGCUCCCG
rnacentral:tRNA from 1 species